AGAAUAGUCAAGGUAGGUAUUAAAAUCAUAAUAAAUAGCAUUUCCAAGUUCCAUCAAGUUCACUACUAUAAUUAGUGACAGAGUACCUUGUAUCAAACCAACUCACUGACCAAGAAAACCUGUAAAAGCUGGAUAGAAAACAACAAAAAUGACAACACAACAUCCAUGGUUGUUGCAAACAUUAGCCAUCAAAAAAGACAGCCCAACUUGAGAGAACAGUAACAACCUGGAGCUUUAAGCAGUCCCACACGGUUAUGGAAACAAAAACUCCAAUUAAGAGCUAUCAAAGCAGGCAAAUCCUGGAGAACAAAGGAGCCACAGAGAAACAUCCACUGAACAUCACUUGAACUCUGUGUGUGGCUCAACUACAGCAAGUCAGCAAGCUGCCUUUCUUCCUGAGAGAAUGAAUGAAGAGGGCUUUUGGGUUGGAGCACUAGUAUCAGUAACAUCAACAAUUGGAAUCCACCCAUUCUAAAGAGCAGCUUUCCAAUUGGAUGUACCUAAGAUGACACGGUUGUUAAAUCAAAGCCGUAAUUAUACCUCAGUGAUCCCGAUUCUAAGACUGGUGCUCUUGCCCUUAUACUUUUGGCUGAGUGACUUAACAGACAUGAUCAUGGCCAAUUAAAUUUUUUAUCAUAAAAUUUUAAGUAUUUCACAUAAGGCAUCAGCCCUUUAUAGGUUACCAUAGUAUGAUAUGUAAUAUAAGUUAUAUAAAAUUAUAUCAUUUUUGACGGUAUGAGUCAUUUACGAUAAUACAUUUAUACACAUUUAUAGAAGUUUUCAUGUGUGCAAAUAGUUUAUUUAAGACAUCUUAGUUUGAGUAAGCUCUACUGUGCCAAGAAGGCUGAGUUUUCCUUGAAAUGUCAAUGCUUUAAAGUCUAAGGAAAAUAUUCCACAGCUCCAUGGCAGCUGUUUUCAGGGAAAAUUAUAGUUAGUAGUUUAUGGUUGCCGUAGCAUCCCAGUUAAUACCAUAGCAAUGAGGUUUAAAUUCUGUCAGAAACAAAAAGUCACUGCAUUUGUAUGGGCAUUUCUACUGUGAAAGUUAAGGCUGAGUCAGAGUUUUCAGCUAGCAAGACUCAGAUUUCCUACCUUUCAAAAGUACUCUCCAGUGGGGUGAGGGGUGUAUCACCUGACCUGCCCACAGGGGCACCUAAGAUAAAUGUGCCAGGCAACAGGGGAGUCGGGGGGAUACCUGUCAUAUGGAAUCCUUGGCAAGUUUCACGCAGGGCCUUCCUGAGUAGCCAAAGGGCUUUAGGGAGAAAUCUGAAAAAAUGAAUUUCUAGUGUAAGUAUCACAAAAAAGAACUAAAUUAAUACACAUUAUCUUUGCAGCAGUUGACUUUCUCAGUACAGGCAAUUACAGAGAAGGCCUACCCCAUACUUUAGCCACACUGCUGUUUCUUCAUGAGGACAUCUGAGCUUCCCCUAAGAACAACCAAAUGUCCACUUCCUCAGAGAAAGAAGUUCAUAGUGCCACUGAGAAAUUUAGCCUCUAAAGAUUUAUCAAACAUAUUCUGUGGAGGCUGUCAAUUCUUGCCAACAGUUAGCAAAGCAGAAAAGCCAACAGCAAUAGGGAUUUAGAGUGCCAUAGAAUUCUAACUUGUCUUGAGGUCAUUAAAGUUUUAGCCUCACUUCUUUUUAGUUAGCUGUUAGUUUCUUUGGAAGAUUGUAUUUUGAAGGAGUAGAGAAUACAUUUUAAUAAACACAGGGUAGUAGACUGGAUGAUAUAUUUAUGUGGAAUGCCUCAGUGGAGUAAGAAAUAUAAACUUAAGAGCUAGAAUGCAGACAUCUUUAGAAUAAAAGUGGGUAAGAGAAUACAGGACAGGAAACAAGUUUUAAAUGACUCAACAACUUAAGCACAGUCUGAAAAACAUUCAGUAAGUAUAUGGUUGUUCAGGGAGGAUAUUAAAAGAUCGAAAGUGUUGAUCUGUGAUUGGGCAAUAUCAGCAUAACUAUAUUGACCACCCUGGAGGUAGAAAUGUUUUCUGAUUGGCCAUCGUGAAUAUGCUUUAACAUGUGUGUGGAUGACAGAUGUGUUUAGAUGAGUCUCAUCAAGAGGGCAAUGUUUUCACUAAUGCACUGGAUUUGUUCCAGCAACAAUGGAGGCACACCCAUGAAUAAAAAGACAGAGGCUUGGGUAGUGAUGUAACUUCAAAAUAAAAGGAAAGGUUGGGUGACAUCAGUUUCUGAAACUUCCAAUUAGAAGGAAUAAGUGCAUCCUUCUGUGCUUUCUAUAAUGCCAUGUGUUGUGAUGUGCUGUUGCUCAGUUAAGUUCAAUAAUACUUUUCCAAGAGUGAUGCAGUGACUAGCUUCAGGAGAAUUUUAAUUCAAAUGCAAUGGCCAAUAUUGUACAGUGUCUCAAGAGAUCAAAUUCCAUUUGGCAGUUUGCAGAUGGAUAAAAACAUGUUGGUCUACUUUAAGACAAAGUAACAUUUUACUAAGUGGCAAAGACUGUAAAUAUUAAUAGCUUAAUAAUAAUAACUAAUAAUAUUUAGAAAGACAAUUUUAAAUUGAUUCACCAAAAGAUAUUUAGGGCUGAAGAACUUAAUUCUGCAUUUGUAUACAUACUUAACUCCAUGAUUUAUGUAUUAAUAAUCAAAAAAUGUAUUUAGCCAGGUCAGUUAGACAGCCAAUAUAAUUUAAAUUUUGCAGCCUUAGAUCACUCUUAAAGUAUAUGUUUAUUAUUUUAUUAUUAAAAUAAUCCCUAAUCCUAUUUCUAUGUUAUCAAUAAGGACAUUCUAUAGCAGAAUUCUAAGCAAAUUCUGAUGGCAGAGAUUUCUCUCUUUCUUCUUUUUUUUUUUUUGAGAUGGAGCUUAUACCUUACACAGAAAAACAGGAAACAAAUUCAAAUUUAAGAAAUAAUAUAAUAAUUUUUAAAAGUUCUGAGAACAACCUCUGCCUCUUGUUUAGCCUAAAGUAUGUCAAUUGGCAAGUGCUUUUUGGAUUACCAAUACAAGUGAAAAAAUGCUAUUCAGCAAGAUGCCGCCCGUGAGUCACACCCUGGUCCUUGGCCACCCCUGUGCAGCCAGCUACAGGACCUUUAUGGAUCACUAGGGGCCUUCACUACACUUCUGGAGAAGCUUAACUCCUCUCCAUGGAAACACAGGAGCUGACUCAACCCCCUCGCUGUGCAUUCAUCCUCCACCCUACUCCCCCAACUAUUUUUUUGCUUGGCUAGUUCCAUACUGAGUAAUCUUUUUCUGUCUUUUGGUUACACUCUUUAAGUCCUGUUCAGAGAGUUAAAUGCAAAUGCUAGACUCCUAAAAAGCCUAUUUUCUGAAGUGAGUAAAAAUUAUGGGCAAAAAUGAACAAUAUGAAGUAACCUUUUCAGUGGGAACCUUGAAAGACAUGUUGAUAUUUUAAAGAGCAAAGUUUGCCUUAUCAAGCCCUGAAUGCCUAAAGGAAAAAAAAAAAAAAUAAGAAAGAAACAAGCUCUAUGUCCUUUCCAAACUUUCACCUUACCUUGACAAAUAGACUCUUGCUGUUACCCUUUUUAUGAGUUUUCUACGGCUGCCAUAGCAAAAUGCUACAGACUGGAUGGUUUAAACAACAGAAGAAUUUUCUCACAAUUUUGGAGGCUGGGAGUCUGAGUUCAAGGGGUUGGCAGGUUUUGUUUCUUCUGAGGCCUCUCUCCUUGGCUCCCAGGCGGUCGCCUUUUUGCUGUGUCCUCACAUGGUCAUCCUCUUUGUUGACUGUGUCCUAAUCUCCUCUUUUUAUAAGGGCACAGUAGUAUUGAGUUAGAACCCACCCUAAAACCACAUUUUAACUUAAGUACCUCUUUUAAGGUUCUAUUUCCAAAUGCAGUUGAUGGCAACAGCUGCUGCCAUUACCCCGGCUGCAGCAGAGAGGAGGGCUGGGGCUGCACACUCUGUGGAGUCAGUGGGAGCCCCACUCCUUCUGAUUUGGGGCAGAAACUUCCCGGGUGCCACUGCAGCCGCCCAAACCUCAAACCUCGGCAGCAGAUCCAGGCCCCCUGCUUCACGUAACAGGCAGGAGCCCCACCCUCCUGCAAUACGUAGCGGGGCUACAUCAGCCAAAACUGCAGCUGUGGAUCCGAGCCUUCCUGUGCUCUUGGAAGGGGCUGGGAACAGGCAGAAUCUGCCCUCCCUGGUGCAGUUGCAGCCACC